CGGAUGCGGCGGCCGGGCGAGGGGCAGCGCCGCGGUGCCCGAGCUGUGCCGAGGAGCCAGCCCGGGGCGGGAGACACGGACUCCGGCGGAGAUCUCCCGGCGGAUCGGCCCGCCGCCCUUCGGAGCGGGAUGGAGGAGCCCGUCAAGGAGGGAGAUGGUGCCGGAGAGAAGACCGCCUGGCAGCAGAGCCUGAGUCCCGAGCUGCAGCAGGGAUACCGAAUCCUGCGCGAGUUCCUAUUAGAGAAGUACCGGCCUCUGACGGCGCCGUUCCUGGAGCCCCUCGCGGAUCAGGCAUCCUUCGGAGAAGAAGGCGCCGGCUCCCCCUCGGGCCAUAAGAGCGGUCAGUCCCUCCAGCAGUUGCCAGCUGGAAUAUGGCUGUUGAAGAUGGAAGAGAAAUUUUCCAGUGGGCAGUACACAGGGAUAGCAGAUUUCGUGUGUGACUUCCGGCUUAUGCUGGAGACUUGCUACCGGCUGCACGGUGUGGAUCACUGGCUCUCCAAACAGGCCCAGAAGCUGGAGAUGAUGCUGGAGCAGAAGUUGGCGCUGCUGUCCCGGCAUUUAAGAGAGAAAACGUCAUUAGCUGUCACAUCUAGAGGAUGCUAUGGGCAGGAAGAUGAGAAAGGAACAGCAUGCAUUUCCACAAGACGUCGUUCCACACCUCGCAGUUUAGUAGGCUUGUCAACAGGCGUGUUUGAGUCUGUGAUGGUUCAGGUUCUAAGACAAGAGGAGCAGCUGAGAGCAAAAGAGGAAAAGAGGCAGAGAGAUCAAGAAAGAAAAGAAGCAGAAGAAGCCAGUCAGAAAGAAAUAGAAGAAUGGGAAAAAUCACUUUUAGCUCAAGCAGCACCUACAAGGAUGGAGACGAUGUGGGAGAUUCCAGCUAUUGGUCAUUUUCUUUGUUUAGCACAACAGAUUUUAAAUUUACCUGAAAUAGUAUUCUAUGAAUUGGAACGCUGUCUUCUGAUGCCUCAGUGUAAUGUUUUUUUAUCUAAAAUAAUGACUUCUUUGUUAAGUCCUCCUCAUCGCAGAUCUACAUUACACCGCAGGCCGACAUUUUCUUACAGGACUUGGGAAGCAGCACUGAGAAAGAAAGUACAACACUGGUAUACUGUUGUAGGGCAGACCGAAAAUCCUAAUGGCGCUGCAGAAAAACUUGGCUUAUGUCCCCAGUUUUUCAAAGUGCUCGGAGAAGUUAAUCCCUUGGAGGAAAAACCAUUUCAUGAGCUACCAUUCUACCAAAAAGUGUGGCUGCUAAAAGGUCUCUGUGACUUUGUGUAUGAAACACAAAAGGAUGUUCAGGAUGCAGUGCUAGGUCAGCCUAUCCAUGAAUGCAGAGAAGUAAUUCUUGGUUAUGACUGCUUGGAGAAUGCAUAUGUUCAUUUUCCACAGUUCUGUGGUGCGGAUGUUCGGAUUUACAAACAAAAACCUUUUCAGGCUCCUGAAUUUCCAUCUCUUCCCAUCAAAGUUAAAAAAGUACCACGUAUUAAAUCAGAAAGAGUAAAACAUGAAUAUGUAGCCAAAAGCAAUGGGGAGGUCAGUUCUGCUGGUAGAAAACUGCUACAUCCUUCCAAGACAGAAGUAGAGAAAAGUAUGGACUCUGUUGUUGUCUGUCCAGAAAAAAAACUACAUUUAGGCACCUUUAGAAUCCCUACCGGGGAGAUAAAGUGUGAAAUCAAAGACUCAAGAGUCUGUGACAUCAAGAAAACUGUUUGUUAUAAAGAGAACUUGAGGAAUUUGAUUACUUCAGGAGAGAUUGUUGGUGUGGGUGGUGACUCUAGUUCAAGAGAAAUAACGGAUGGGGAGAAUGGACAAGGUUAUGCUGAAAUGGCCAGACUAAGGUCUGAUAUGAGUCCCUUCAAGGAGAACACACUGAAAGCUUGCCAGGUGCAUGUCAAUGGCACUUACAAUGAUUACCAAGACACCAGUUACCAUGAAUCUGCUAAAGAAACAGUGCUAGAGAACUCACUGCGAAAUAAUAAGAAACUAAAUAAGAUACUAGCAAAAAAGAAGAAAAAGAAAAAAAAGAAGUUGAAGGAUAUUCUAAAUGAAAAUCUACAGAGAAAACUUGAUGACCUGCAAAGAAAACGUGAGAUUCAUCUUCAUCCAUUCAAAUCUUAUAAAUCUGAGCUCCAGAACAAGUUGUUUAUAAUUAAAAAGAAAGCAAAACACAAGAAGCACAAAUCUGGAAAAAAAUCACUAUCUAAAAAAGCAAUCACAAAGAAGAGGAAGGGUGUCAGAAAGUCUACCAUACCAGAAUUUCAGCUUAUUUGCACUAAUCUUGAUGAACUCAGGGAAUUAAUCACAAAGAUUGAGAAUGAACUCAAAGAUCUGGAGGACAUUAAAAAGAAAUCGGGAAGAUGGUACCACCGGAAGCAAGCAGUAAAGGAAUUGCAUGGUACGUUGUUACGACUGCUUAAUGAACUGUUACCAUGGGAACCAAAGCUAAUUAAAGCAUUUCAAAGAAACAGGUCUAGAUUGAAGAAGGACUAUGAUGACUUUAAAAGACAUCCAGACCAUGAUAAAUUUACCAGAGAAUUGUGGAGUAAUGAUGAAAGUGAAGUUGAUUCUGGCAAAGAAUCUUUUGCAGUAGUAUGCGGUAAAUCAUCAGAGUCUGCAGAACAUAUAGAAGUUCCCAAAAAAGAUCACUCAGACAAUGAUGAAAUGAAACUAUUAGAGAUGAAUUUACCUGCAGGAAAAAACAGAAUUCUGAAAAAAGAAUCAGCUUCUAAAGAAAUCCAGAAGACACUGCCCAAAUGCAUUAAACGACAGUUCAAGCAAAAUAGUUGUCUGGAUCAAAGCACUAAUGAACUCUCACCAAGGAAGAAAGCUAAGCUGAGCACUGUUGAGACUGUAGUCCAGAGUUCAGAAAGUAGCCUGCAGCCGGAUAGUUGUUUAACUGAGCUAAAACAAUGUGAAGGAUCAAGUUUAGAGUUUUUUUCCUUGACAGAUCCUACAACAUCAGUAUCAAACUUUCUGAAAGGGACCAAACCCAUCCAGGCCUUGCUUGCCAAGAAUACUGGGAACAAAGUGACCUUAACAAAUCAACCGUCGCCUCCCCCAGACAUAAAUGUAUCGACUUCUGAAAAGUCAGUUUUACCACCUUUGGAAUCAUCAGUGAUCAAACCAGCAUUGCCCUGCCAGGCCAGUUCAAAGACUCCCUUACAAAUGGUAUACAAAAUGCCAAAUGGCCAUUGUGUACCAAUAGACCUUCAUAACAACUCAGUGAAAAUUCAAAUGCAAACUGUGACUGACCCUAAAACUGGAGAAAAAGUCAUGCAACAAGUUCUUAUUUUACCUAAGAAUUUUCUUCUUCAGCAGCAGGAAGGAAAAAUUGUGUCCAAGGACGUUCAGCCACUACAACAAAAAUCAUCUGAGCUGCACUGUACAUCUUUACCAAAAGUGUCAAAUAUCAGUGUUUCUUUAACACCUGUUCUGGUGACAGGCUCUGCAAAUACUACCACUCAGUCACCUACUACAAUUUUUAGCAAGAAUAUUACCCACUCGUCACAAGUGUCCGGUCCCAUGAACAAUACACUAUCAUUGCCUGAUGUAACUUCAGCAGGUAACUUACUAUCGUCAAAAAUUAAGGUGAACCAAACUGAAACUGACAAAAUCAAGACUACAGUUUUGACUGCUACAUCCCCUGUGUCUUUGACUUCAUCUACUCCUUCCACAGCUAGCCAGUCCUUGAUACCAGCAACAGCAUUAAGUGGGUCUGCGAACACUGAUUCUGCCUGUCAUAGUCUUGCAUCGCAGCAGCCAACUGACUCCUGUGAAACUAGGCAAGAGUUGAAGACUGUAUGUGUAAGAGAAUCGCAAUCUAUUCUGGUCACAACACGAGGCGGAAACACAGGCAUUGUUAAAGUGCAAACAAACUCAGACCAAAUUUCACCUAGUAGUUUAUCUUCUAGUUCAGUUUUCACUUACACUUCUCAACUUCAGGCCUUUCUUGUACCAAAAACCACAGCAUUAUCAUACUCUACUCUUCCAUCUCUAGCAACAGCCACAUCUGGUUUCCCACAUACUGGACAAUCAUCUGUUUCUGGAUUUACCCCCUCAACAGCUUCUUCUGUUAACAUUCCAGCUUUCCCAGCUGAUUUUACCCAGGCAAUGGAGAAAAAUAUCAAAUUCACACUACAGCAGCCUCCUGUUGGGCACACUUCAGGUCAAGUAAUAGAGAACUCCUGCUGUGUGUCCUCUCCUUUAUCUUCCAUUUCAUUAGCUAGCAAUGUGAUGUCCACAACUCCAAACAGUCCUGUUAGUGUGACUAGCACUGGACAAAAUAACACUGUCGUAACUCCAAAUUCUUCUGUACAGCAUCAAGGGGAUACUAAAACCAAAAAAAAUUCUGUUAUACAGUCUGAGUCUAAUUCAGCAACAAGUGGGGAUUUAGUCAGUGGUACUCCAGUCCAGAAAUUUACAUUAGUUACAAAUUCACCAAUUUUAUCUCCCUCUGGAGCGUCAGGAGUCAGUAUUAUACCCUCUCCAGCAUCCACUGCUGUUAAUGCUCAGAAACUGGUUUUUGUUAACACACAAAUUGCCAGUGGCCCAUCAACCACCAAUCUAGUUGCAGAGUCAUUGAGACAGAACCUUCCUUCUUCUCUAACCAAAACCUUUGUUAAUGCUACAGAGCAACCACAUUUGGUUUUGAUCCCAUCUACGAUAGGAGCACCAAUAAGAAUAAAUUCAUCACCAACUAUUGCUCAAGUAAAAGAUGUAAAAAUUGGACUAAAUAUAGGUCAGACCAUUGUAAAUACUAAAGGCAAUGCACAGGAGGCCCCACCAGUUAAUAUAUUGCAUUCUACCAUUUCUAAAGGAGAAGACAAAAAAAGCCUUGGCUUGGCACUGUCUUUGACAAGUAGCAGUACUGUGGUUCCUGCUCCAGCUUUUGCUGUGUCAGCUAAUGAAUCUGUAUGUGUUGCAACAAAAGCUGAAAAUGCCUUUACAGUAACAAUGGCACAUGCAUGUGUAGAAUCUGUUUCAGUAGCACCAAGUGGGACUACUUCUAGGACACAGUCCACUGUCUUGACUGGUGGCAAUGACCCCUCAAGAAUAAGGCCAGUUCUGGGUAAUCGACUUUGUACAUCAAAUAUUGGAAAUAUGGGUAUAUCAACUGUGAAAACAGGACAUCUUGCUUCAUCUGUGCUGAUUUCAACCACACAACCAACAGUAUCUCCUCAAAACUUAGCAUCUGCUUUGCAAUUUCCAUUCAUUAGCUUGCCUGGAUCUGCAGCCGCCCCCCAAAAGGUGUUACAUACAGUUCCUCAGUUAGCAACAGUUCCAGCUCCUCUUCUAGUAUCAAAAAACCAGUUGCCCACGCUGCCUCAGUUUCAGUCAUCAGGAACUUCAGCUGGUAUGUCAAGUCACACAGGUAUUCACAAACCUCAGAGUGUGUUGCCCUCUCCGUCACCAAAUACAGAUGAAGGCAAUGAAGUACUGAGUUCUCAUAGCAACAUGGAGGAACUGGGAAUAGAAUCCUUGGUCCCCUGAACUCCUUCCAGCAUCCCAUCCAUUACUAAAGCAGUUCCAGGUUUUUUCUGAAUAUGUUUACCAGAUGAAAAUCCUAAAAUUCCUCCUGAAAACAACUGCACAAGCAAAUCCAGCGCUGAACGGUAUCUAAAAAGGGCAGCUGUUUCCCUCCAGAGUGUCAGGAGCAAUGAGAUGGUUGGGGUGUAUGUGAUGGUGUGCAGAAAUAAAAAUCAAUUACUUCUGCCAAGAUAUUUUUCCAUCGUGGUGCUCAGUGACAGGACCAGAGGCAAUGAGCACAGACUGAAACACAGGAGCUGCUCUGAACAUCAGGAAACCUUUUUUUCUAUGGGAGUGACUGAGCACUGGCACAGAUUGCCUGGAGAGCUUGUUGGGUCUCCCACACUGGCGAUAUGCAAAAGCUGUCUGGACACAGUCAUGAGCAACCAGCUUCAGGUGGCCCUGCUGGAGCAGAGGGUAAGACCACAUGAACUCCAAAGGUGCCUUCCAACCUCUACCAUGCUGUGAUUAACACCAGAAAGAUCUAGCUGGUUUUGCUGGACCAAACAACAUGGGUUUUGUGGAGGGGAAAAUGAAGGGAACAAGAAGAAUGAACAGUGAGGAACAUAAACUCCUUAAUUUGUACAAAUCAUUCAAUGCUUUAUAUUAUACCAGAUGAACUCAACUGGAGUUUCAAAGGGAGAAGAGAUGCAGGGAAGUUUCUAUAGAUAACCAUGUGUGUAAAACUGUAAGUGGACGCUAUCACAGUCUGUCAAGUUCCCAAGCAACAUAUCAGCCCUUGUGCACCCUGAAAAUGUCAUAGAGCUCCUCAUCAAAUCAUGUGUUUUCCUGAAGAAAAGCUUCAUUACUGGGAGAGGAUGAUAACUGAAGGGCAUUGUUUGGUCUUGUGAGAAUCAAGACAUAGAGUAAAUGCAUGUGAUUACCAAUCCUAGUCUCUACCCCAUCCUCGCCUCAAGCAAUGUGUAGGGCAAAAUGUCAACUGCUUGAAUAUUUUGUGUUCUGAAUGAAUCUCUUGUUAAUAGUAUAACAAGAAAGGGAAAAAAUAACGACUUUGUCAUGAUUUGUGUCACCAUCUGGAAUAUAAAUGCAGAAUGCUGCUAUUGAGGAAUUGGAUGGAUGAGAAGGUGAAACACCACAUCCUGGUUCUGAUCUCAGUUUUUUUACAAAAUCUUAGUUCUCUGAAAUAGUGCUGCUAAAUUCAUCACUGUAAAGUCACUGGAAUUGGCAAAUGGAUUUCACAGGUGUUAACCUUUUCAAAGAUAGCAUUUCAGGAGAAGAGGAUGGAAGAGGAUGGAGAAACCUCCAAGUAACCCAAGUUACUUUGGGUUUUUUGUGAUAAACGAGAACUUGUGGCAAACCUAGGACACUAAUGAAUCUUGAUCACAGGAAUGAAAUGAAUGCUUCUAGUGUAACUGAAAAUAACAGGCUUGACCUUUGAAGAAGAAUAGCUGUUGGUUUUAUGCUGUUGACAUUGUGAUUCCAUCUUUCUAGGAGAAGAUCUUGGGAUUUUUAUUAAUUUAUUUCCCUUAAUUGAUAAUUUAUUUUCUCUGGCAUUUGAGGCUUCCUACAGCAGACAAAACAAAGAAAUAUGAGUACCUUGGCACUUGAUUUAGUAAAGGCUUUAGUUUUGAGUUUUAUGGGAAUUUCAGUGGAAACUCACAAGUAUUUCACUGCUAAAUCUACAUUAACAGUAACAUAGGACAGUAAGCGAAAAUAAGGACAUUAUACUCCUUUCAGUUUGUCCUCAGAAUCUUCAUCUUUCCAUGGUUUGGGGAUUUACUUGGAAGUAUGUACUAUCUGGCUUCAAGGCUGAACAGUUCCACUAUAGGCCUGAGACUGGAUGUGGCUAGUGCCAUGGUCUAGUAACCACGGUGGUGUUGGAUCAAGGGUUGGACUUGAUGAUCUCAGAGGUCCUUUCCAACCCAGCUGAUUCUAUGAUUCUAUGAUUCUAUGUUUUGGAGCUUUUUGCAAAGCUAUUCCUCAAACAGCUGCUACCUUGACUGCAGGCACCUCCAGGAAGCAACAUGUUGUCCUGUAGGCUGCCUUGCACAAACACCUUUAGUAUGUUCAUCCUGAAAGCCUAGUUCACGACAGAAAGUUCCUCCUCAAGUAGUUUGCAAGUGAAGCUCUGGUCCCUGCUGCCAGGCCCAUCUCUCUCUGCUCUAUCUCUGAAACUUACAAUAAAGAAGGAAUGGUAGUCUUAAUCCUGUAGUAGCUGUGCCAAGACGAUGGCAUGAUUGCAGUGGUGCCUGUGUGGCUGCACUGUGUUUUUCCAAAGAAAAAAGGUUGGAUAGCUUUCUAGCUUUCUGUUUUUCUUUGCUCCUACUUUGUGGUUGACUGCAGGUUCUGAGCCCAGGGGAUUGUUCCGAUUUGUGGGACUUUCUGAGAUGCAGGGUGACCAACUAUGAGUGAAAAACUGUGGGUGAAAAACUUUUGGAUGCAGUUGGGCACUAUCAAGGUGAGAUUGAGUUAUGACUUCCCUUUCCUGUGAUUUCAGGACACCAUCCCUGGAUUUAAGAGAAUGGCAGUGCUUUCUAAAGCCUCACAGUCCUGUUCCCACCAGUAGGUUGAUAACGGGUUUGGGGUAAGAAACUCCUUGCAGAUGAGCUGCUGAUUUAGGCCUCUGGGGCCACCUCUGAAACAUUUUGUUUGAAGAAAAUUAAUAUAGUCAACACAGGCUGUAUCCUUAGGACUUGGAUCAAAACAGUCCUUUGCAGCACAUUGCCCAGGGAGGUAGUGAAGUCAGCAUCCCUGAAGGUGUUUCAAAGACAUCUGGCACUGGGUGAUGGUUCAGUGGUUCAGGGGGUUCAGUGUUACUGCUGGGUGGAUGGUUGGAUUGGAUGAUCUUAAAGGUCUCUUCAAACCUUGAUGAUUCUGUGAUUCUGAGUAAUCUCUGCAGUAAUAGUCCAGUGAAACUUAACUUGGAAUAUUGCCACUACAGCUGAAGUAAAAGCAGUCCUAAAAUGAAUACAAACACUCAAUACUUCAGCUCUGGGCAUGAGGAGAGUAGACUUCAGGCUGCUCAGGAAGCUAGUUUCCUGCACAAAUUCUUAUUUCCAGAGUGGGAAAGGCGGGAAGACACCUUUUAAGAGCAUUGUUGGUUCUAGCUGCUCAUGAAAUCAAAAUAUACAUCAGAUUUCAAAACUCCUACCACUAGCACCCUCAGAUAAGGGCUCUGAGUUGCUGCUGGAAGAAAGCCAUAAAGCCAUAAAGUCAUACCCUGUAGGAAGCCAGUCGUUACAUACAUCCAGACCAUGUUGAAUCCAAAAAAUCCCAGUGCCAUUCCUGAAAAAGCCAGGAGUCCUCCAGUGAUCACAACUGCCCGAUGGGUGUAUCGUGCACAUAAUGAACUGGCAACAGGGGCUGGAUCAGCAGCAAAAUUGGAGAAAGAAAAAUACAUUAGGAACAUUAAGCUGAUUGACAUGACCAAAUAAUCAAAUAAGUCAAAUAAAGUACCCUUAUAA